UCUAGCCAGAACCCAGCAGCUGUUGAUAGGCAGGGCGCUUCCGUGUACAGACUGUACAACAUCAGCAUUGUUUACAACCUGCAGACAAGCGAUUUUCAAGGCAAAUCCACCAGUUGUCUACAGGGACUGUAGAAACUGUACUAUUUGUACGCCAUGGUGUGACUUUUGAUCAAAGCCGGUGCCUACGUGGUGCGCAAAAUCAGCGCAGCCCUUAGACAGGGAGAGCAGACUGAACAACCUGUGCUCACACCAUGUAAACUGGCUAAAGGUAAAAAGGAGCUCUAUGCCGGGGAUGCAGCAUUAAUGUCAGCUCCAGAGCCUGAGGGUGCUGCUGGCUCAUCUGCACCGGCAAUGACAGCUAUACAGAAAUGUGGUUCCUGAGGUUAAAGGCCAUGCAGAAGCAAAUCUGAACAGGUGUCAUCACUGCUGAUAAAACUCUGCAUCCCUGCUUACAAGCACGUUAUGUGAGGCUGA